UGUCCUGCCUGCAGGAAACUGGCGCUCAGUCGCCACACCAUUCAUGGCGUGACCAGCUGAGGAGCUUCACACUAGCCAGUCCAGCUCCGAGUUCAGUCAUGUGACAGAACGCCUCACCUGUAGUAACAGGCAGAGGUGGGAAUAAUGAAGUAUAAAUUACUGUUAAGUCGAAUUUCAGGCAUCUGUACUUCACUUCAGUUUUUAUUUUUCUGGCAACUUUAUACUUUUAUUCGCAAAAUUCAUCUAUAGUGUUUAUACUCGGGAUUAAAAUGGGCCUGAACAAGUGGAAGUGUCUGUAUGCCGUUGUCAGCAUCUAGCCAGUGCUACAGAAGAGGAAUUAGCACAGAUGGAGGAGAGAAAAGAAAGAGAGUUAACCUCACUCAAAAAUGGAGAAAGACACGAAAGAGAGGAGAGGAAAAAGAGAGCUUAGAUUCAAAGGUAAUGGCAUCUCAGGGUAGCUUAAUAAACUACACUGAGAUGAUAUGUAAUAUCAUCAUUUCAUUAUCAUUUUAAUGAUAUGUUGGAUCUGUAUAUCAUUUGUUUUGAUAAAUUAUGUAUUUUCAUUUUGUGAACCUAUACUAAUUUUGUGUUAAUCAAAUGUUGCACGAUAAUACUGUGACG